rnacentral:rRNA from 1 species
GACCCGUCUUGAAACACGGUCUAAGGAGUUCACUGCAUGUGCAAGAGUUCGACUGUAUGAAAAGUCUUGCUCGUAAUGAAAGUAAAGAACAUUCUUGCAAUGUUUUAAGUGUGAUUUCUGUCAUUUGGUGCAAAUCAUGACAAUGAACGCAACACUGACAGGUUCUAUUGCCGUUGGCAAAGAGCUUAGUAAGAGUAUAUGCAAUGAGACCCGAAAGAUGGUGAACUUAAUGUGUGUAGAAUGAAGCCAGGGGAAACCCUGGUGGAAGUUCGUAGCGGUUCUGACGUGCAAAUCGAUCGUCAAACAUGCAUUAAGGGGCGAAAGACUAAUCGAACCAUCUAGUAGCUGGUUCCGUCCGAAGUUUCCCUCAGGAUAGCUGGCGCUCAUUUUUUACAGUUAUAUCCGGUAAAGCGAAUGUUUAGAGGCAUUGGGCGUAAAAUACGCUCAACCUAUUGACAAACUUUAAAUGGGUAUGAAGUUCAUUUUUCUACUUCAUUUGAGAAUGAACAACGAAUGUGAGUGCCAAGUGGGCCAUUUUUGGUAAGCAGAACUGGCGCUGUUGGAUGCACAAAACGUCAAGAUAAAGAGCCAGAUGGUCUCGCUCACCAGAUACCAUAAAAGGUGUUGGUCGAUAUAGACAGCAGGACGGUGGCCAUGGAAGUCGGAAUCCGCUAAGGAGUGUGU